rnacentral:ncRNA from 1 species
ACAAGGGGAGCAUUUUUGCUGAGAGGUAGAUUUUUCUACGACCCUAUGAACCUGACUUGGGUAAUACCAGCGUAGGGAUGUC